GUUAUGUGUUUUUUUCUAUGUGUUACCUUGGCAAACUGUGCAAAUAUUCUGGGCUAUUUCCCCGCUUGUUCCAUCAGCCAUCAGGUCAUAUUUCAGCCAAUAUGGAAAGAAUUGUCUUUAAGAAGACACAAAGUGACUUUACAUGUAUGAAAAAAUUCCUGCAAUAAUUGGAAACAUAUUAACCAAAAUGGAUGAUAGUGUGUAUGCUCAACUGGACAUGAUGCGGAUAUUCGAAGAUGAGGUUUUAAACUCCCAAAGAGUAGAAGACUUUUUAAUAGAUAAAAGACAUCAAUUUGAUUAUUUAUGGUAGAGAUGAUAACCACUAUUGGCCUUGGUUUUGGUGUCAAAUAUAAUGCUCCAGUUGUGGGUGUGUCAUCACUUGGAGGUUUCGCACAUAC